rnacentral:tRNA from 1 species
GAGGAUAUAGCUCAGUGGUAGAGUACUUGCCUAGCAUGCAUGAGGUCCUGGGUUCAAUCCUCAGUACUUCCA